GGCAUAUGGAGGUUCCCAGGCUAGGGGUCCAACUGGAGCUGUAGCCACCGGCCUACACCAGAGCCACAGCAACGAGGGAUCCGAGCCACGUCUGUGACCUACACCACAGCUCAUGGCAAUGCUGGAUCCUUAACCCACUGAGCAAGGCCAGAGAUCGAACCUGCAACCUCAUGGUUUCUAGUCGGAUUCAUUAACCACUGAGCCACGAUAGGAACUCCAACAGGAACUUCUUCUGCUUGUUUUAUUUGUUUGUUUUUGUUUUCUGGGCCAUGCUUGCAACAUAUGGGAGUUUCCAGGCUAAGGCCAAUGAAUCAGAGCUAUAGUUGCCAGCCCAAGCCACAGCCUUGGCAACACAGGAUUCAAGCCAAGUCUGUAAACUACACCACAGCUCAUGGCAACAUCCACCGAGCAAGUCCAGGGAUCAAACCCACAUCCUCGUGGAUACUAGUCAGAUUCGUUUCUGCUGCGCCACAAUGGGAACUCUGUUUGUUUCAGAUAGCCAAUACUUUAUGCCAGGCAAAUAGAAAGCAAUUAAUGCUGGCUGACAUGAGAAUAUUUAGGUAAUAUUGUUACUCAUACCUUCAAAUUGUCACCAUAUAAUUUUAAAAUAAGCUAGAACUUGGAAUUCUUUUGUGGUGCAGUGGGUUAAGGAUCUGGCAUUGUCACUGCAGUGGCUUAGAUCACUGCUGUGGUGUGGGUUUGAAUCCUGGCCCGAGAGCUUCCAUGUGCUGUGGUCAUGGCCAAAGAAACAAAACAAAACAAAAAAUCUACUUCUUAAAGUUCUUAAAAACCAAAGAAUGGGAGUUACCAUCGUGGCACAGUGGUUAACGAAUCCGACUAGGAACCAUGAGGUUGUGGGUUCGAUCCCUGGCCUUGCUCAGUGGGUUAAGGAUCCGGCGUUGCUGUGAGCUGUGGUGUAGGUCGCAGACACAGCUUGGAUCCCACAUUGCUGUGGCUCUGGUGUAGGCUGGUGGCUACAGGUCCGAUUAGACCCCUAGCCUGGGAACCUCCAUAUGCCACAGGAGAGGCCCAAGAAAUGGCAAAAAGACAAACAAACAAACAAAAAACCCCUAAAGAAUGGAAACUUAUUCCUUCAUCCCUCAUUAUAGGUUUAAAAAUGUCCUUAUAAAAUAUUGUGGAAUUAGAAAGAGGUGAUGGUUGCACAAGAGUGUGAAUGAACUUAUUUAUGCCACUUAAACUUGGGUCAAGGUCACACAAUUUGGUAAUAGAGAAAGUAGAAUCUAAAUUUUGGUCUUUAUGACUUCAAAACCUGUAUGUGUACCAUUUUCUACUACCAUGUGGUAUCAACAAAUAUAUAACCAAAACAGUUAAACUGCUUUAUACAACUAAAAUGUAAGUUUAGGUACACUGAAUAUUUCUCGUCAACAACAAAGUUAGCUAUGAUGGAGGAUAAAAACCCACGUCUUAGUCCUUAAAUUCUGCAAUACAUCAAGUCCUUUUUAGUACUUGAUGAGAUCCUAAGUGGACUAAAACCAACUUUUCUCUGGAAGUGAGUUUCAUUUUUAAUCUUUCUUAAUAAUAGAAACUCUCUGCAUCAAAAAAGCCUAGGUUUAUAAAAAAUUACUAUGUCUUCGUGUGACCUAUUUGUACCAUUUUAGUAAAGGGUUACAUGAAUAUAUUGACUCAAAUAGAACAUAAUUAGGGGCUAUUAUACCACAGGGAAAUAUUUAAUUUUAAAACUGUCAAAGUAAAAUCCUUUCUAUAUCUAUUACAAAGAAUACAAAAUUCUGAUACAUAUCCAAAAUGCUUGAUUUUUUUUAGAUUAAUAUAUAUAAGCCUCUUUAACGUACCUUGACUCCCACAGAGAGUUGGUAGGGAUGGAUAGUUUUAACUUGUAUGUUGUGUCAAACACAACUUGAGAUGCAACUGCAGAGCUUGAAAAAGUAGACCUGAUUGUGAAUGUUCUUCUGCCCCCAAGCCCCUCUCAUAUCAUCCAUCUUAGUCCACUCUGGUCAGACUUUGGUGUCCUUACAGUCGCAAAGAUGAUAAUUUGCACUGCUUCAUUGCCUCUAGCAAAAGGAGGAAUAAUGUCUAAAUCACAAAGAAGAAUAAGGACUGACACUUCUCCACUACAAUGUCUCCAAGAAAAAAACACAAAAGUUACAGGAAGAAUUCUUACUCAGGUAUUAGGAUGAAGAUCAACUUUUCUGAGAUUUAUAAAUAAGGUGAAUAGCCCAGGUAUAGGGAUUGAAGAGAAUUGCCUGGGAGAUAGCUUUUGACAACACUAACUUCUCCACGUAAACUGUUAAACAUUUCCAUUACCCCUAUCCUUAGGAAAAUUCAUUUACCCCCCCCCCAACAAUUAUCUUCAUUUUGUAAUGCUAAUGCCUCAUUGUUCACUUCAUAUAAAAACAAAAACUGUCCAUACCUUUGAAAUAGUUGAAGGCACCCUAUCGGAUUAAAGAACAUCCACAUUUUAAACUCAAUCUCCCUUUUAAAAAGUCUAAUCUGAGUAAGUACUAACCCCAGGAUACAAAAAUAAUUUGACAACUGAGUUAUUCUCCAAGAAAAGAUAUGAAUAUUUAUUUGACUUUUUUUAUUUAAAAUGGAUAAACAAACAAACAUAUCUCCUCAGCUGAAAGCCAUCCAAACAUAAUUUCAAAACUCUCCAAAUUAUAAAGGGAAAAAAGAGUCAAGGGAAUGAAUUUUUAAACUUAGUUCCAGAACAUAUUAGGAAUUAAAAAAAAAUUAGAACUGGGUCUUAUUCAGUUAAAUAAGUUAUUCAUAUUUAAAUCCAUGAUGUGAAAAAGAAAUGAAUUUAUUUGUCAAUAAGAAUGCUAAGAAUGCAAUUUUGAAGGAAAAACAUGAAAAGAAGCAAGUCUGUCUUGAUUUUUUUUAAUUCCAUGUUUAAUAAACUGCUUUGAAAUAAAUUUUCUGGAGUUCCCAUCAUGGUGCAGCAGAAACAAAUCCAACUAGGAACCAUGAGGUUGCAGGUUUGAUCCCUGGCCUCACUCAGUGGGUUAAGGAUUCAGCAUUGCCAUGAGCUAUGGUGUAGAUUGCAGAUGCAGCUUGGAUCUGGCGCUGCUGUGGCUCUGGCGUAGGCUGGCGGCUAUAGCUCCAAUUAGACCCCUAGCCUGGGAACCUCCAUAUGCUGCUGGUGUGGCCCUAAAAGGACAAAAAACAAAAAAAAAAAAAAAGAAACUAAAUUUUCUUUGUUCUUUUAUUCCAUCUUCCAUGAAAUAAGGACUAUAAAACCAUUGAUAAAGUGACUAGAAAUGCUUUCCUUGACCAAAGUGAAAGAAUAUACCCUUACAUUAAUGCCACAGGUACAGCACCACCAAACAUUCCAUUUUACUCCUUUUACUUUUCCUGACCUUAAUAUCUCAGUAGGAAACCCAACUGGGUUGAGUUAGUAUUCUGGGAAUAGCUGGGUUGAUUCUUUUUUAGGCUGUGGGCUCUGUGGCAGGUUAUAAUCCUACUUGACAAAGACAAAGAUCUCAUCAUGGUUUAAACAACAUGAAACAUCAGAGAGAAAAAAAGUAAUUGUUACAUCACUGAGGUUCACAGAGUACACCUAGUGCAAACCAUGGGAUAAAAUUGCUGAGGUCAACCCUCAUCUCAAAUAGUUAUAGUAGGGUUACUUUGUAGGUCUCUACAAAUAGCUGAGACUAUGAGACUAUCUUGGAAUGCCUUGACAGCAGCUAACCUUAAAAAUGCUAAAUAAACUUAGAGGUUUUGUUUGUUUGUUUGUCUACUGCAUAGACAAAUGGUUAAGAGCACAGAUUAAGGAGCCAGACCACAUGACUCUGUAAUUUACCAGGUUAUAUUCUUUGGUCUUACUUAACAUUCCUGUGCCCUUAGUGUCCCUGUCUAUAAAAUAGGAAAAAUGAGAUAAAAUAUGAUAACAGGAUAAAUUCAGUGACUGUGAAGCACUAAAAAUAGUACUUGACCAUUAUUAUUACAUAUAUUAGCUAUUACUAUAAAUUAUUCUGUUGGCUGAUGAUAGUUUAAAAAUCACACUAAAAACCAAAAAAGAGUAUUCAUACUCAACUUAAAGAGAGAACGUUCAGAUAUCAAAUGAGGCCUCCCAACAAGAGUAACACAUAAGUUUGUUUUAGUGCUCUCCCUAGGUGUCAUGAGACCAAUAAGAGUAGAAGGUUUUGACCAGAGAGUGUAAGAUUAUGUUUAAGAACUGGCAGUUUUGGAGUUCCUGUCAUGACGCAGCAGAAACGAAUCUGACUAGGAACCAUGAGGUUGCAGGUUUGAUCCCUGGCCUUGCUCAGUGGGUUAAGGAUCUGGCAUUGCCAUGAGCUGUGGUGUAGGUCACAGACGUGGCUUGGAUCCCACGUUGCUAUGGCUCUGGUAUAGGCCAGCAGCUGCAGCUCCGAUUCGACCCCUAGCCUGCGAAACUCCAUUCUGAUUUUGGAGAGCUCCCAGAAACUCAGGGAGCUAUUAGGACUCCUCCUGGGGACACAGAUUCAGGUGGCAGUCAGUUUGGGGAGUUCUGUUCUAUGACGAGGACACUGGUGUUGGCAAGCACUGCUUUAGAGUCCUCCUUCUAGCCUUUUAGUGACAGGGGAUUACUCACCCAUCAACAGGCCAGCAUCAACAAGCUGCACAGGUACCCAACUCCAACCACCAGAAAGCUGGCACAAGCCCCAAGGCCUCUGGUGUCCACAGCCAGUGGUGCUUGGAUCCCAGUCCACCCAAAAGAGGGUCAGCAGCCAUAGCACAAGGCAGGACUUGGGAGCCAACGAGGCCAGAGGCCAACACCGCCUACAAGCACACCCAUAGUAGUCAGUGCUACACAAGGGCCCAUGCAGCCCA
rnacentral:lncRNA from 1 species